rnacentral:lncRNA from 1 species
GGAGAGGAAAGACCUCUGGGACGUUUGCAGAAGACAUUAAGGAGGGUACACUCGGUUAUACCAUACAUCCAUAUCUUUAGCAGGGAGCCAUGCAGUAAAACUAAUGAUUUUCGAAGUCUGAGUUGGCCUUUUUACAGGGGUUACUAAUGGCAAUUUCUCCUUGACCCUUAUAUCUCUCGUACGGCGACCAUCUAGCUGACCGGGCGAUUGUUUACGCACUUGAAUAAAGCAAGGAGACAACGUUGAUGACAACACAAAAAUGUGUCCACACUAAUUGUUUUCGCCCUUGUGCAUGUACUAUGGAGACCUAAGGCUGGUUUAUACUCCUCCGUAAAGUCUGUAGACACGGAGAGCCAUCGACGCUAUUAUGCCUAUUUUAACAGGUUUGAUGUUGAUUAUCCAUUACAAAAUCGACGCGAGAUACAUCACAAGGGAAAGUGUUGACCCAGAUCGGUGAUGGAUGGAUAGGUGGAUGCUGAAGGAAGAGGAUGACCUCAUGAACAGCUAGGGAUCUUUGUGGACAUCUGAAAAACUAGGAGUCCAACAUAAACUAUAUCACCCUGAUUCUGGCUGAUUCUUACCAUUCCAAACAGAUGGACGAUAAGGGAAAUAAACUGAGUUAUUAAACACCUGCAUAUGAGCUUGUGGGUUUAUAAAACCGAUGAGGCAAUUAAAGGUUGCGAACUGUGCAACUGAACAAAUGUUUAAAAAUAGCUUCUGACCACUGUUUGGGUAGUCUUCUGUACCUAUAUAUCUUAAACAGAAACCAGAGACAGUUUGUAUGGAAACAGCUGAACAAUUCUCUCAACGCCGCGUUAUUACGAGCGCAUGUUCUGUCACGGGUGCGUGCACAGGUAAAUGCGCUUCCGCGUGAGUGCACGGCGGCGCGGAUAGCGUUUCCGACACGACAAGAGACGCAGCGGUGGGCAGCGGUAAUAUAACGAUGAUAAAAUAAUGUGAAGAAGACACCUGAGGAUGGACCUUCAAGGCGGGAGGAUUUGCAGAAACCCCGUCAAAGUAUUCGCCUGCGCCUCUCUAUGUCUCUCAGAGCGCUCAAGACUUGCACCAGCGUGGACACCAGGGAGGAUUAACGCAUGCACCUAUCAUCCUCCUUACCAACUCUCGAAGGAGUGAGCCCUAUUCUGUGUUCCUUCUUAAGGUUCCUUC